rnacentral:rRNA from 1 species
AGUUGGUGGAGUGAUUUGUCUGCUUAAUUGCGAUAACGAACGAGACCUUAACCUGCUAAAUAGCCCGUAUUGCUUUGGCAGUACGCUGGCUUCUUAGAGGGACUAUCGGCUCAAGCCGAUGGAAGUUUGAGGCAAUAACAGGU